rnacentral:lncRNA from 1 species
CUCACCCUGUUGCGGGGAUUCGAACCGCCAACCUUCUGAUUGGCAAGCCCAAGAGGUUUAGAACACAGCACCACCCAAAAAGGACCAGGGAGGGGCAAAGUGGCUGCAGGUUCCUCCAGGGGAGCCUACACACUGGCAUGGUUCCAGUAAUCCAUAAUGUGGCUUACUGUGCCAUACAAACCAGGCUUCUUACUUGUUUGAUGCAAGGGCAGUCUAAAUGAGCCCAAUUUCAUGUCAGUCCAGCCUGAGAGCCAUUGUUAUCUCACCAUACCUUAUUCUCUCUUCUUUCCAGGUUAAUAAACACCAUGGGUCCCCUGAGAGAACCUCUAUUUUACUGGAUCUGUUGUCAUCACACAUAACCUUAUACAGAACAGGUGGGAAGAAGUUUCUCCAGUUGCCCACCUGAGAUACUGAAGACUGGAAUUUUCAUAGGCUGUUCACACCUGAACCUUGGCAGAUGUGUCUAGAGUAAAAGGCUCGGCCUCACUUGGCAUGAAGUAUCUGGCGGAAAGUAUCUUUUCCUAUUGGCUCCAUGAAUUUAUGGAAUUAUAUUUGCUGAUGGGUCUGCUGGAUGGCAUCUCUGCAGAAGUAACGCCUUUUUGCUUGGGCUGUGACCUUUGACCACCUUGGCCUAUGCAGGUGAAUAUACAAGUUGUUUUGUUUUCACUGUUUGCCUUUUUAGACAUGUGUGUAAAGUGUAUAGGAACAAUUGUAACUAAUGUUCUGUUUAUUCCUCAACUUGAACAUAAUUUAAUGUCCAUUUCAAAACUUCUUUGAAUUUUGAAGUUACAUUUGUUGAAGAGAGAUGUGAAAUGGAAAGGUUUGCAUAGCAGGAAAGCUAGAAAAUUCAUUGUAUCUUAUAAGCGGAAAUUGUUUGGAAUCUUACAACAAAGAAAAUUUAAAAGUAGAGAUGACAAUGUAAAAUGGGGGGAAAGCCUCCAUAUGAUGAAUGCACACAUUUGUUCCAUAGGUGUUUAGGACAUGCCAGCUUUCAGACAUUAAGUAAAAGGCCAGGAUUGUGCUCAGAUAUGAAGUUAAAGCCAUGUAAAUCCUUUAUGGAGUGUAAUACUUGCAGGGAGAGUAAAUCAACAACAGCUCCGAUAUAGUGGCCCCCAAACUUAAAUUGAUUAUGGAUGAAAUAAUAGACAAAGGAGAAAUUCCAGAAUCCUGGCAAGAAGCUUUGAUAAAUCUCCUUCCAAAACAAGGGGCAGACCCGAAGUUGAUUAAAAAUUAUAGACAGAUUUCUCUGUUGAAUAUAGACUAUAAAAUUUUUACUGGGGUCUUAGCAAAUAGGAUGAAAAUCAUUUUAAAAAGAAUUAUAAGGAAAGACCAGGCUGGUUUCCUACCAGAAAGACAAAUAAAAGAUAACACUAGGAUAAUUAUUGACUUAAUGGAAUAUGCUAAAAUGAACCUGAGGAAAAAAAUAGUAAUGUUAUUGGUAGAUGCCGAAAAGGCAUUUGAUUGUAUCUCAUGGAGUUUCCUGACGGAGACAUUUGAAAGUUUGAGAAUAGGAAAUAGAAUAAUGAAUGGAAUUAAAGCUAUCUACAAAAAACAAAAAGCGAAGCUAAGGAUAAAUAAUGAAAUUACAGAGGGAUUUGAUAUUGAGAGAGGGGUUAGACAGGGAUGCCCCUGUCGCCACUGUUAUUCAUUAUGGCGCUAGAAACCCUUCUAGGAGCAUUAAGAAAAGACAAGGAAAUUAGAGGGACAAAUGUAGGAAACCCGUGCUAUAAAGUUAAAGGAUUCACAGAUGAUGUGAUUAUAACGAGGGAAGCACCAUUAGAAAGUAUUCAAAGAACUCUAGAAAAAAAUGAAGGAAUUCGGCAAGGUUUUGGGCUUUAAGUUGAAUAAAGAAAAGUCGAAACUAUUGGCAAAGAAUAUGGGAGAGAAAGACAGAGAAGAGUUAGAGAAAACAACAGGGCUGAAAAUAGAAGGUCAAGUGAAAUAUUUAGGUCUUUGGAUAACAAAUAAAAAUACGAACUUAUUUAAAGACAACUAUAUC